GAAGCUACGUCAUUAUCUUCCCGCACAAAAGAGCUUUACAACCCUACGGCCUUCAUCACUCACGCGGCAUGGCUGGAUCAGGCUUGCGCCCAUUGUCCAAUAUUCCCCACUGCUGCCUCCCGUAGGAGUCCCCCCGUGCCCCCCCCCCGCCCGCCGCGCCCGGCGGGCGAGGCGGGGGCACGGGGGG
rnacentral:rRNA from 1 species